rnacentral:rRNA from 1 species
CCGCGUGGGCGGGCUAUCGCGCAACGGAUAAAAGGUACGCUGGGGAUAACAGGCUUAUCGCGCCCGAGAGUUCACAUCGACGGCGCGGUUUGGCACCUCGAUGUCGGCUUAUCACAUCCUGGGGCUGGAGCAGGUCCCAAGGGUCCGGCUGUUCGCCGGUUAAAGUGGUACAUGAGCUGGGUUCAGAACGUCGUGAGACAGUUCGGUCUGUAUCCGUCGUGGGCGUUGGAGGUUUGAGGGGUGUGGACCCUAGUACGAGAGGACCGGGUCGAAUUGCCCGCUCGUGUGCCGGCUGUGGUGCCAACUGCAUCGCCGGGUAGCGAGGGCAAGCGAAGAUAACCGCUGAAUGCAUCUAAGAGGGAAGCUACCCCCAAGAUGAAACCUCCCUGUAGCCUUGAGCUCCCUGAAGGGCCGGGAGAGACCAUCCCGUCAAGAGGUCGCACGUGGACGUGGAGCAAUCCAUUACAAGCGCAGCGAUCCUCAUCGCCCGUGAGGCUUGAUCUU